GUGAUGCCUGCCCGGUGCUGGAAGAUUAAUUGAUGGGGUGCAAGCUCCUGAUCGAAGUCCCAGUAAACGGCGGCCGUAACUAUAACGGUCCUAAGGUAGCGAAAUUCCUUGUCGGGCAAGUUCCGACCUGCACGAAUGGCAUAACGAUGGCCACACUGUCUCCUCCUGAGACUCAGUGAAGUUGAAGUGUUUGUGAUGAUGCAAUCUCCCCGCGGCUAGACGGAAAGACCCCAUGAACCUUUACUGUAGCUUUGCAUUGGACUUUGAACCGAUCUGUGUAGGAUAGGUGGGAGGCUGUGAAACCGGGACGCCAGUACCGGUGGAGCCGUCCUUGAAAUACCACCCUGAUUUGUUUGAGGUUCUAACCUAGGUCGGUAAUCCCGAUCGGGGACCGUGCAUGGUAGGCAGUUUGACUGGGGCGGUCUCCUCCUAAAGGGUAACGGAGGAGUGCGAAGGUACGCUAGGUACGGUCGGAAAUCGUGCUGAUAGUGCAAUGGCAAAAGCGUGCUUGACUGCGAGACCCACAAGUCGAGCAGAUACGAAAGUAGGUCAUAGUGAUCCGGUGGCUCUGUAUGGAAGGGCCAUCGCUCAACGGAUAAAAGGUACUCUGGGGAUAACAGGCUGAUACCGCCCAAGAGUUCAUAUCGACGGCGGUGUUUGGCACCUCGAUGUCGGCUCAUCUCAUCCUGGGGCUGUAGCCGGUCCCAAGGGUAUGGCUGUUCGCCAUUUAAAGAGGUACGUGAGCUGGGUUUAAAACGUCGUGAGACAGUUUUGUCCCUAUCUGCCGUGGGCGCUGGAAGAUUGACGGGGGCUGCUCCUAGUACGAGAGGACCGGAGUGGACUCACCUCUGGUGUACCGGUUGUCACGCCAGUGGCAUUGCCGGGUAGCUAUGUGGGGAAGAGAUAACCGCUGAAAGCAUCUAAGCGGGAAACUUGCCUGAAGAUAAGUCUUCCUGGAGGCUUGACCUCCCUAAAGAGUCGUUCGAGACCAGGACGUUGAUAGGUUGGGUGUGUAAGCGCUGUGAGGCGUUGAGCUAACCAAUACUAAUUGCUCGUGCAGCUUGAUCCU
rnacentral:rRNA from 1 species